UACGAAGGGUGCAAGCGUUACUCGGAAUUACUGGGCGUAAAGGGCGCGUAGGCGGAUAGUUCAGUCGGGGGUGAAAGCCCGGGGCUCAACCUCGGAACUGCCUUCGAUACUGGCUAUCUUGAGUACGGGAGAGGUGUGUGGAACUCCGAGUGUAGAGGUGAAAUUCGUAGAUAUUCGGAAGAACACCAGUGGCGAAGGCGACACACUGGCCCGUUACUGACGCUGAGGCGCGAAAGCGUGGGGAGCAAACAGG
rnacentral:rRNA from 1 species